rnacentral:sRNA from 1 species
UCGUAUCUAGCGAUGCAACGGUGUUC